UACGUAGGGUGCAAGCGUUGUCCGGAAUUAUUGGGCGAAAAGAGCUCGUAGGCGGUUUGUUGCGUCGGCUGUGAAAUCCCGAGGCUCAACCUCGGGUCUGCAGUCGAUACGAGCAAACUAGAGUGUUGCAGGGGAGACUGGAAUUCCUGGUGUAGCGGUGAAAUGCGCAGAUAUCAGGAGGAACACCGGUGGCGAAGGCGGCCGCCUGGUUGGAUACUGACGCUGAGACGCGAAAGCGUGGGGAGCAAACAGG
rnacentral:rRNA from 1 species